rnacentral:rRNA from 1 species
AUUGAACGCUGGCGGCAGGCCUAACACAUGCAAGUCGAACGAGUGGCGGACGGGUGAGUAAUGUCUGGGAAACUGCCCGAUAGAGGGGGAUAACUACUGGAAACGGUGGCUAAUACCGCAUACCAUCAGAUGAACCCAGAUGGGAUUAGCUAGUUGGUGGGGUAAAGGCUCACCAAGGCGACGAUCCCUAGCUGGUCUGAGAGGAUGAUCAGCCACACUGGGACUGAGACACGGCCCAGACUCCUACGGGAGGCAGCAGUGGGGAAUAUUGCACAAUGGGCGCAAGCCUGAUGCAGCCAUGCCGCGUGUAUGAAGAAGGCCUUAGGGUUGUAAAGUACUUUCAGCGGGGAGGCGUUACCCGCAGAAGAAGCACCGGCUAACUCCGUGCCAGCAGCCGCGGUAAUAC